CAAAGCACUGGGCUAGCAGAGGACGCCAAGACACCACAGGUCACACUGUGCUCGACCCAUUCAUACAAGAUGUCUGCUGCCUGCACACGGCAACUGGCAGUUGCCAAAGCUGGAGGGAGGUGGAGGAUGGGAAUGAUGUUUCAAGAUGUGGAGUCCUGUUUGCAUGAUGAAAAUGUUCUGGAAUUAAUGGUUGUGACCACACAACUUUAUUAUGAAUAGACUAAAAAUUACUGAAUUGUGCACCAUAAAAAGGUGAAUUUGGGCUAGGCAUGGUGGCAGUCCCAGCAACUUGAAAGGCCCAAGGAAGAUUCCCAAGUUCAAAGCCAGCCUCAGCAAACUAGACUGUAUCAAAAUAAAAAAGAGAGCUGGGCAUGGUGGCACAUGCUUAUAAUCCCAGUGGCUGGGGAAAUUGAGGAAGGAAGAUUGCAGGUCGAGUCAGCCUCAG
rnacentral:lncRNA from 1 species